AUACAGGGGGUGCGAGCGUUAAUCGGAAUUACUGGGCGUAAAGAGUACGUAGGCGGUUGCUUAAGUCAGAUGUGAAAGCCCCGGGCUCAACCUGGGAACUGCAUUUGAAACUGAGUGACUAGAGUUUAAGAGAGGGGAGUAGAAUUCCGGGUGUAGCGGUGAAAUGCGUAGAGAUCCGGAAGAAUACCAGUGGCGAAGGCGGCUCCCUGGCUUAAAACUGACGCUGAGGUACGAAAGCGUGGGUAGCAAACAGGAUUAGAAACCCCAGUAGUCC
rnacentral:rRNA from 1 species